rnacentral:rRNA from 1 species
UACGGAGGGUGCAAGCGUUAAUCGGAAUUACUGGGCGUAAAGCGCACGCAGGUGGCUGAGUCAGUCGAUUGUGAAAGCCCUGGGCUUAACCUGGGAAUUGCAGUCGAUACUACUCAGCUAGAGUAUGGGAGAGGGUAGUGGAAUUCCCGGUAUAGCGGUGAAAUGCGUAGAUAUCGGGAGGAACAUCAGUGGCGAAGGCGGCUACCUGGCCCAAUACUGACACUCAGGUGCGACAGCGUGGGGAGCAAACAGG